UGCAAGUCGAACGAUGAAGCCCAGCUUGCUGGGUGGAUUAGUGGCGAACGGGUGAGUAACACGUGAGUAACCUGCCCUUAACUCUGGGAUAAGCCUGGGAAACUGGGUCUAAUACCGGAUAGGAGCGUCCACCGCAUGGUGGGUGUUGGAAAGAUUUAUCGGUUUUGGAUGGACUCGCGGCCUAUCAGCUUGUUGGUGAGGUAAUGGCUCACCAAGGCGACGACGGGUAGCCGGCCUGAGAGGGUGACCGGCCACACUGGGACUGAGACACGGCCCAGACUCCUACGGGAGGCAGCAGUGGGGAAUAUUGCACAAUGGGCGAAAGCCUGAUGCAGCGACGCCGCGUGAGGGAUGACGGCCUUCGGGUUGUAAACCUCUUUCAGUAGGGAAGAAGCGAAAGUGACGGUACCUGCAGAAGAAGCACCGGCUAACUACGUGCCAGCAGCCGCGGUAAUACGUAGGGUGCGAGCGUUAUCCGGAAUUAUUGGGCGUAAAGAGCUCGUAGGCGGUUUGUCGCGUCUGUCGUGAAAGUCCGGGGCUUAACCCCGGAUCUGCGGUGGUACGGGCAGACUAGAGUGCAGUAGGGGAGACUGGAAUUCCUGGUGUAGCGGUGGAAUGCGCAGAUAUCAGGAGGAACACCGAUGGCGAAGGCAGGUCUCUGGGCUGUAACUGACGCUGAGGAGCGAAAGCAUGGGGAGCGAACAGGAUUAGAUACCCUGGUAGUCCAUGCCGUAAACGUUGGGCACUAGGUGUGGGGACCAUUCCACGGUUUCCGCGCCGCAGCUAACGCAUUAAGUGCCCCGCCUGGGGAGUACGGCCGCAAGGCUAAAACUCAAAGGAAUUGACGGGGGCCCGCACAAGCGGCGGAGCAUGCGGAUUAAUUCGAUGCAACGCGAAGAACCUUACCAAGGCUUGACAUGUUCUCGAUCGCCGUAGAGAUACGGUUUCCCCUUUGGGGCGGGUUCACAGGUGGUGCAUGGUUGUCGUCAGCUCGUGUCGUGAGAUGUUGGGUUAAGUCCCGCAACGAGCGCAACCCUCGUUCCAUGUUGCCAGCACGUAAUGGUGGGGACUCAUGGGAGACUGCCGGGGUCAACUCGGAGGAAGGUGAGGACGACGUCAAAUCAUCAUGCCCCUUAUGUCUUGGGCUUCACGCAUGCUACAAUGGCCGGUACAAUGGGUUGCGAUACUGUGAGGUGGAGCUAAUCCCAAAAAGCCGGUCUCAGUUCGGAUUGGGGUCUGCAACUCGACCCCAUGAAGUCGGAGUCGCUAGUAAUCGCAGAUCAGCAACGCUGCGGUGAAUACGUUCCCGGGCCUUGUACACACCGCCCGUCAAGUCACGAAAGUUGGUAACACCCGAAGCCGGUGGCCUAACCCUUGUGGGGGGAGCCGUCGAAGGUGGGACCAGCGAUUGGGACUAAGUCGAUC
rnacentral:rRNA from 1 species